AAUGUCAACUUGGAUUUGGAUUUUUUUCCGGCUAAAAAUGGUCCGUAGCUUUUCUCAGGAUCGGUUUUGUUUUUAUCGGAUGAAACUGUACGUCAUGCUUGACGUCACCAGCUGUAACAGAAAUUGAAAACACAGAGGAAAAAGGAUUUAUCAAGUCUCUGUUAAAACUGGAACUCGGUAUCACAUCUGACUCGCACUUCUGAAAUGGAUCAAAUCGGACUUUGUCGUCGAGACUCGGAGGAACCCAGCUGCCUAAAUUAUUAUGCCAGUGGAACACAAAACAGGUAUCAAAAAUACUUUUAUGCAAGACAUGGAGAAAAGAGCAGACUACAGCCUCUAUAUACCAUUCCUUGGUGCAUCCUUGAAUUGAUGUUUUUUCAGGAUAACCAUGCAGGAAUAAAGGUUAACUCAGUAUAAAGUCUUGCUGACAUGAACAUGAUAAUCACAAGAAAGUGAAUAUAUUUCAUCACCUUAAGCAAUCUUCAAAAUACCAGAUUGGAAAAAGAAAGAAGAUUUGUAGCAUUGUAUUGAAUAUGCCUGAUUAAAAGUAUUAAUGGAUGAA